CUGGGGAAAAGACGCAGUCUCACACACUUUGGGGAAUGUAAUUGGUGCUUAUACGUUGUAGGGCUGUAUACAUCGGAAUCUUAAAUUCACAAUAAAUUUCACCUAGCAGUUCCACUAUUUGGAAUUUAUCCUAGAUAAAUAGCUUAAAUUUUAGGAUCGACAUUAAUUCCAUUUCUCCAGCAGUCUUGGAAUAAUUGAGCCACAGCGGUGGCAGAUGGCAAACACAGGAAAGAACAAUACCUCACAGUGAGGCCGAGACCCAGUCCCCUGAUCUGGAAUCAACCAGUCCCGGCGGUGAAAGCGCCAAACUUUAGCCACUAGACUACCAGGGAACCACAAAGCACAUACUUUUUUUUUUUUCCUCCUUCAAUUGUUUCAGCAGAAAUUACGCUGACAUUGACCUCUAGAAAGCUCCAUCUACCCUUCCUGGUGCCACCCGCCCAUCCAAGGAAUAGUCCCAAAAGGCUGUCCUCUCCCUGCUUUCUCCAAGUUGCGAGCCCACACGCGACGUGCAGAGCUCUCUCCUUUCCUUCCAGCCAGUGGCCCUCUUCGAACACCUGCCAGGUUUACAAGUCCCGGAGCGAGUUGCAGCGUCCCGGCCGCACCUCACUACCGACCUAAAGAUGCGCCUUUGCUAGGCGGCAGCGCGUGGAGAGACUGUCGCUGGUCGGCGGGGCCAGAGCGCACCAGGCUUCCGGGAGGAGGCUGGAGCGGGGAGGCGCCCGGGGUGAGACCGUGGCACCCUCAACAUCAUAAAGGACUCAGAUUCCUGCAUUCCCGACAUCAUAAACGACUCAGACGGAUGCGGAAACCGAGACGGCCUGGAUGGAAAACUCUUUCAAGGAAGACCCCAGGGCCCUGAACGGAAUUCCGGAUAUUUUCUCUAAAACGUACUACACCUGCCUUUUCCCACGUUAGUUAAUGGCAACUCCACCCUCCACACGUUCAGGCCAAAAACUCGACGCAGGUCUUUCUCUCAUGACCCACAUCCGAUUAGUUAGGAAAUCAUGUUCUUUUUUUGGUUGAUUUUUUCAUCUUUCUUCCCUCCCUCCAUCCUUUCCUCCCUUCCUUCCUUCUUUCCUUCCUUCUUCCUUUUUUCCUAAGUAAGCUAACACAGGAUCAUGUUUCUUUUUUGGUUAAUUGCAGACUUUGAUCCACACAACUAUUCUCUUUCUUGGUCUGAAUUUUGGCAAACGACAAGCAAGGCAUAGAGAUCGCUUCAACUCGCUACCCGCGGCUCGCCCAGACGUUAGGGUUUUAGGCCGCCGUUAGACUUUGGCCCUGCAGGUCAAAAUCAGCUACUCUAGGCCUGUCUUCUCGGAGGCCAGUAGCAGCACCUGGUCCUCUCCGCGCGGCUUCUCCCGCCGGGUACGCAACCCUGCACCUCUUUCCUGUGACCUGCAGCGAAGCUCGGCGGGGGACCGGGUAUUCAACUGGCCAGGAGUUCUCGAGGCGCAGGUGCGGGUGUGCAGGGACGCGCGCGGUGAGUUUGCAGUUCCUGCGGGCUCCAGCAACAUCCCGGGUCAGUCCGAACUCCGAAGGCGCCAAGGCAGGGAGGGACCGGUAGGUGAAGGGCAGCCGCCCUCUUGCGCCCUGUUUCAGUCCUCCAGUCGCUGUUGAAUGGAGUUUCCGUCUCCAGUCUCAGCCAAAGCAGGCAAGGCGGACAACCUCGGCCUGGCAACCAGAUCCAGCCUUUGCCUCUGCACAAGUCUCCUGGGAGGUGUCAUUGUCCCUGCUGUUUCCCUCUUCAUGUCUCCUUUGGUCCCUGCCCCUUUCCUGAUCUUGCCCACUGACCCCAAAAGACGUAGGAAAAAUGUUCAAAAUCAUUACUCGUUAG
rnacentral:lncRNA from 10 species